rnacentral:lncRNA from 1 species
CAUCAGACUGUCUGCUUUUUCCUUCAGUGUAGAAGAUAAGGAAGCUGACUUCAAGACAACUGCCCUUCCUAAUAAUGACUGUGAAUUUGGUGGAGUCGCAGGCUACAAUCACACUGAGUCUGACUCCCUUGGAUCAAUGUUCCUCAAAACUACAUACACCGUCAUAUGUCUACAGUAAUGCUUUCAUUUCUAUACUUCUAUGUCCAUUCCAGUUUUCUAUCUUAAAAAUUUCUAAAAGAUACCCCCUGCUUUCUUAUACUUAUUAAAAGCAAAUAUAUCUUGCAAAAAAAAA